UGCUAUAGAAUUGAAUGACUCCUGCUAGCUUCUCACCAAGCCUGUUUAUGUGCAUUCUUAUUUAGGAUUGUGUUGGAAUAUGGAUUUGUGCAUUCAGCCCCUGUAUACCCACUGUAUACCCUGGAUAGAAAAACGUCUAUGAAUAACUAUUGGAAGUGUUCCCCCACGAUGACAACAGCUGAGUCGAAACCAUCUGCCAGUUUUCAUGUCUACCCGCACAGUCAACAGCAUGAUAUUAUCUGAUAAAAAGGAGAAGUUACCAGAGCUGAAGAGAAAAUGUCUUUUCCAAGAGUACAUCUCCUGAAACUCCAGAAAAUGGUCUCCAUAACGUCCAUCUGUAAGAACACGAGAGAUGCUACGUAAACCCGGAGCCACCUGGAGCUCCUUCCAAGUUUGAUAACACAUCCCAGGUUCACUUUGCAUUCUCCCAGGGAAGGCCGGCACUAGAAGACAUGACCCCAGUAACAAAAAUAAAAGAGGACUAUGGUGGCCA
rnacentral:lncRNA from 1 species